rnacentral:lncRNA from 1 species
CUGCUAAAAUAUGAAAACUAUGAGAGAAUAUUUGUUUGUGGGAAUUUUCUGUGUAUUCUUCUCCUUGUAGGAGGUCAUAUUUAUAAUACAACAAAACCUGAAUGGGCAAGUAAAUAAUAAAUUCCUAAAUCUAUUUGCAGUAGGAAAUCAGGAAUUAAAGUAAAUCAAUUACAAUUAUAAUAGGAAUUCUUGGUGUGUAAGGAAAGUAAGUCAA